GCUGAAAGCUGCAUCAUUUACCCGGCAGGGGAGGGGACCACAGACUAUUAAUUGAUGCCGACACAUCUUUCUGGCAAGGUCACAAGUUCUCUCUAUGUCCAUUUUUGUGACCUCCGAGUGCUUCAUCCUAACAUCAUUGGUGCUGACGUGAGUAACUAUGUGACUAUAUCUCUUGUCAUGUUCCUUAGUCU